rnacentral:rRNA from 1 species
GACGAACGCUGGCGGCGUGCUUAACACAUGCAAGUCGAACGGAAAGGCCCUGCUUUUGUGGGGUGCUCGAGUGGCGAACGGGUGAGUAACACGUGAGUAACCUGCCCUUGACUUUGGGAUAACUUCAGGAAACUGGGGCUAAUACCGGAUAGGAGCUCCUGCUGCAUGGUGGGGGUUGGAAAGUUUCGGCGGUUGGGGAUGGACUCGCGGCUUAUCAGCUUGUUGGUGGGGUAGUGGCUUACCAAGGCUUUGACGGGUAGCCGGCCUGAGAGGGUGACCGGCCACAUUGGAACUGAGCUACGGCCCAGACUCCUACGUUAGGCAGCAGUGGGGAAUAUUGCACAAUGGGCGGAAGCCUGAUGCAGCAACGCCGCCUGCGGGAUGACGGCCUUCUGGUUGUAAACCGCUUUCGCCUGUUACGAAGCGUGAGUGACGGUAAUUGGUAAAGAAGCACCGGCUAACUACGUG